GUUCAAGUUCUUGCUGCCAUAACUUCCCUGUCCCGAGUGACUGUGUUUGAACUGAGAGCCAAAAUUAACCCUUCCUUCCUCAAGAGACCUCUCAGGGCAUUUUGACAUAAAUUGAGACCGAGAAGUGGGACAUCUGCUGUAGGACCCUGUGGUUUGUUGACCAUGGGAACUUGUUUGAUUGGAGGAAGGAGAGGAAUUUAGAACGGUGGGCUGGAAAAGCAAUUGAAAACUGCCAGUGGAGCCCAAAGGGCUUACAUCUGUGUGCUAGCCGAAGAAAUGGCUUCAUUCCGCCAUGUCCUGAGAACUGGGGUGAAACUGAGUGUAAAGCUAGUGGACAAAGAUGGGAACUCUCAGGCUGGUGAUGAGGAUGCAGCCACACUGUUAGAGCGAUCAGCACCACCGAGAAGCAUCUGCCAAUGCAUUGGAUUACAGGAAUGAUGUCCUGCGGGCAAAAUCCCAUCCACCCAAAGCUCCAACCUGUCAAAGUGCAAAGUCUGCAGCUGCUCUGAGAACGAGACCCUUGGGAGUUCCUGAUGGCAGGUAGCAAUCUCCAAGGACCUGGAAUUUCUUCAGGAGACUCAUGUGAAAAGGAAAAGGCUGAAGCGUGGUGCCAGGGAGGGGUAUGUGUCUCCCAGGGAGAGAGUUCACUCAGUUCUGACUUGUCAGACCACCUUGCAGGAGAGUCUGGAGCCAAGACUCUGGAGCCAAGAUGACCAAAGCCCGCAGUGACGAAUGGCACCAAACCCUGUCCAAGACUGCUUAACUACAGAAUUACCUUUAGUCCUCUAAACCUAAACCUCAUAUCAGGACCCAAAGAUGAACUUGGGGUGGGAGGUCACUGGACCUCUUUGUUGCUUUUCCCUAUGUAACUUCAUUGAAUUUCCUUUCCAUACUUUUCCUUA